GGAAGGUUGGCGGAGCGGCUUAACGCGCCGGAUUUAGGUUCCGGUGGACCCCCUAAGCUUCCAGGCGACCGGGGUUCCGUGGGUUCGAAUCCCACCCCUUCCA
rnacentral:tRNA from 1 species